rnacentral:ncRNA from 1 species
UAAUGUAAUUGAAAAUGAUUAUCAAUCUCAACGACCCCCCACUACAAUUCGUUCUUUUGAUUGAGUCAUUUUCAAGUACUAUCCCCUUUUAUAUGCCCGUAUAAAAAAUAGUCGUUUUGAUUAAACGUUAAAUUAAAACUGUCACACGAAGGUGUGGCAGUUUUU